rnacentral:rRNA from 1 species
CACCGGUAGCUCUAGUGGUAGCAGUUUUUAUUGGGCCUAAAGCGUCCGUAGCCGGUUUAAUAAGUCUCUGGUGAAAUCCUGUAGCUUAACUGUGGGAAUUGCUGGAGAUACUAUUAGACUUGAGACCGGGAGAGGUUAGAGGUACUCCCAGGGUAGAGGUGAAAUUCUGUAAUCCUGGGAGGACCGCCUGUUGCGAAGGCGUCUAACUGGAACGGUUCUGACGGUGAGGGACGAAAGUUAGGGGCGCGAACCGGAUUAGAUACCCGGGUAGUCCUAACUGUAAACGAUGCGGACUUGGUGUUGGGGUGGCUUUGAGCUGUUCCAGUGCCGAAGGGAAGCUGUUAAGUCCGCCGCCUGGGAAGUACGGUCGCAAGACUGAAACUUAA